rnacentral:rRNA from 1 species
GAUGAACGCUAGCGGGAGGCUUAAUACAUGCAAGUCGAGGGGUAGAGUUAAUUUCGGUUGACUUGAGACCGGCGCACGGGUGAGUAACGCGUACACUACCUACCAUAUACUGGAGGAUAGUCAUUGGAAACGAUGAGUAAUACUGCAUAAUAUCUAAGGAUUAAAGCUACGGCGGUAUAUGAUGGGUGUGCGUAUCAUUAGCUAGUUGGUAAGGUAACGGCUUACCAAGGCUACGAUGAUUAGGGGGCGUGAGAGCGUGAUCCCCCACACGGGUACUGAGACACGGACCCGACGUCUACGGACGGCAGCAGUAAGGAAUAUUGGACAAUGGGCGAGAGCCUGAUCCAGCCAUCCCGCGUGUAGGAUGACGGCCCUAUGGGUUGUAAACUACUUUUAUAUGAGAAGAAUAGCUUGUAUUUAUAUGAGUGUGACGGUAUUAUAUGAAUAAGCACCGGCUAACUCCGUGCCAGCCGCCGCCGUAACAC